CCUACGGGCGGCAGCAGUGAGGAAUAUUGGUCAAUGGGAGCGAUCCUGAACCAGCCAAGCCGCGUGAGGGAAGACGGCCCUAUGGGUUGUAAACCUCUUUUGUCGGGGAACAAAACCCGGGACGUGUCCCGGACUGCGUGUAUCCGAAGAAAAAGCAUCGGCUAACUCCGUGCCAGCCGCCGCGGUAAUACGGAGGAUGCGAGCGUUCUCCGGAUUUAUUGGGUUUAAAGGGUGCGUAGGCGGUCCGUUAAGUCCGCGGUAAAAUGGCGGGGCUCAACCCCGUCGAGCCGUUGAAACUGGCAGACUUGAGUGGGCGAGAAGUAUGCGGAAUGCGCGGUGUAGCGGUGAAAUGCAUAGAUAUCGCGCAGAACUCCGAUUGCGAAGGCAGCGUACCGGCGCCAGACUGACGCUGAGGCACGAAAGCGUGGGGAUCGAACAGGAUUAGAUACCCCUGUAGUC
rnacentral:rRNA from 1 species